GGGUUGGUGGCCAUUAAGGUAGUGGCCUUGGGGACAUUGGGUUGGUGGUCAUUGGGUUUGUGGACGUUGGCUUGGUGGUCAUCAAGCUGGUGGUCAUCAAGGUGGUGGCCUUGGGGGACAUUGGGUUGGUGGUCAUUGUGUGGUGGUCAUUGUGUGGUGGUCAUUGGGGUGGUGGCCGUUGGGUGGCGGUCAUUCAGGUGGUGGUCAUUGACCUGGUGGUCAUUGGGUUGGUGGCCAUUGAGGUGGUGGCCUUGGGGACAUUGGGGUGGUGGUCAUUGAGCUGGUGGUCAUGGGGUUGGUGGUCAUUGGGGUGGUGGCCUUGGAGACAUCAAGAUGGUGGUCAUUGAGGUUGGUGGCCUUGGGGACAUUGAGUUGGUGGUCAUGGGGUUGGUGGCCAUUGGGUGGUGGCCGUUGGGUGGUGGCCAUUGAGGUGGUGGUCAUUGACCUGGUGGUCAUUGGGUUGGUGGCCAUCAAGGUGGUGGCCUUGGGGACAUCAAGAUGGUGGUCAUGGGGUUGGUGGUCAUGGAGGUGGUGGCCUUGGGGACAUUGGGAUCGUGAUCAUUGGGUGGUGACCAUCAAGAUGGUGGCCUUGGGGACAUUGGGUUGGUGGUCAUUGGGUUUGUGGACGUUGGCUUGGUGGUCAUCAAGCUGGUGGUCAUCAAGAUGAUGGUCAUCAAGGUGGUGGCCUUGGGGGACAUUGGGUUGGUGGUCAUUGUGUGGUGGUCAUUGGGUGGUGGUCAUUGGGUGGUGGUCAUCAACCUGGUGGUCAUUGGCUUGGUGGCCACCAGCUUGGUGGCCAUGGUGACAUCAGAUUGAUGACCACCAACAUGGCCACCGUUGACCUUGAGUGACCACUGGGUUCGAUGACCACAGGUGUGCUCUGCUGACCAUGGGGGAGCUCUGGUGGCCACAGGGGUCACUUUGGUGGCCACGGCCAUCGUGUCGACCACCAGCGUUGACCUUGGCUUUGAUGACCACUGGCUUGAGUGACCACCGGGUUUAAUGACCGCGGGCGGGCUCUGGUGGCCCUGGGGCCACGCUGGUGGCCCCGGCGGUGGCCCUGGUGGCCCGGGAGGAGGUCCCAGCCGUGUCCCCCGCUGU